rnacentral:lncRNA from 1 species
CAAUUUUUUGUAGUGGGUGUAUAGCUAUAAAACGAAGAAGAAGAAAAAGAAUUUUAUAGUGAAUCCCGGUGCAGACUUGCAAAAAAAUGCGCGUGAAAGGGACAACCUUUGAUCUUCAAAGUUCAAAAGAGCAACUUUAGUUCUAUUUACUGGCUGUAUUUAUAAUGUACUGAAUAUUUUUACGUAGACAAAUUUUCAUAAGUAUUAUCGUAACUAUAAGACUGACGCUUAGUACAAUUACGUACAUAUCAGUAUUUUCAUGAGUAAGUGAGGGGUUUAAAAAUAAAAUGAGAACCAAUGAUAA